UCCAACCCCGUGUGUACCUACCUUUGUUGCUUUGGCGGGAUCGCCGGGGCGCACGCCGUGACGGGGCGUCCCGCACCCGUCAGAGACCCAUCAAACCCGGAAUUGUGACGUCUGAGUACCGAUACAAUUGUCAAAACUUUCAACAACGGAUCUCUUGGUUCUGGCAUCGAUGAAGAACGCAGCGAAAUGCGAUAAGUAAUGUGAAUUGCAGAAUUCAGUGAAUCAUCGAAUCUUUGAACGCACAUUGCGCCCUCCGGUAUUCCGGGGGGCAUGCCUGUUCGAGCGUCAUUGCACCACUCAAGCUCGGCUUGGUAUUGGGCCCUCAUCCCCGGUGGAUGUGCCCGGAAAUCAGCGGCGACGCGGCCGGGUUUCAGGUAGUAUCGACAUAUCUUCCGCCUGAAAACUCGGGCCCGGGUCUGCCGGACAACCCCCGUACUUCUCAGGUUGACCUCGGAUCAGGUAGG
rnacentral:rRNA from 1 species